rnacentral:rRNA from 1 species
AUUGAACGCUGGCGGCAUGCCUUACACAUGCAAGUCGAACGGUAACAGGUCUUCGGAUGCUGACGAGUGGCGAACGGGUGAAUAAUACAUCGGAACGUGCCUAGUAGUGGGGGAUAACUACUCGAAAGAGUGGCUAAUACCGCAUGAGAUCUACGGAUGAAAGCAGGGGAUCGCAAGACCUUGUGCUACUAGAGCGGCCGGCGGCAGAUUAGGUAGUUGGUGGGAUAAAAGCUUACCAAGCCGACGAUCUGUAGCUGGUCUGAGAGGACGAUCAGCCACACUGGGACUGGGACACGGCCCAGACUCCUACGGGAGGCAGCAGUGGGGAAUUUUGGACAAUGGGCGAAGGCCUGAUUCAGCAAUGCCGCGUGCAGGAUGAAGGCCUUCGGGUUGUAAACUGCUUUUGUACGGAACGAAAAGCCCCGGGUUAAUACCCUGGGGUCAUGACGGUACCGUAAGAAUAAGCACCGGCUAACUACGUGCCAGCCGCCGCCGUAA